AAAAAUAGGUUUUCUAGUGAGCUCUCAAAAAGGUGUCUAAAGAGGAUAAACUUCUUUGCACACACAAAGUUUCAAGGUACAUCAAAAGUGUUAUUUGUGUUGAUGUUAUUACUAUCAUGCACAAUUGGUAUAAACAACGCAGACAGAGCAAUUUGGAGAGAAAAAUAAAGUAAAGAAUUUAGAGAAGGGAAAACGCAGCAGCUAAGGAGAGUUGAAAGAAAAUACAGAGACAAGAAGCGACAAAUGCUUCCGGUAAUGCACGGAGAGAACCCAACUCUGAUAAAGUCAGAUUUCAAAAUUAUCGAUAUAGCUCUCGCUAGUGGGAAGGUAGAACUAGCAUACCGUUACAGAUAUCCUUCGAGAAGGGAUCUUUUGAUAUGAAUAUUUGACUCCUUUAUGAAGGGUCACACCGAUUACAUGAUUCAUUCUUGGAAAACUCUCAAAUAUAAGAGAGCACAUGUGACAUUGGUGGGGAAUUUGUUAAGCUAGCAAAUUGGCAAAUCCAUGGUGAGCCCGCACUUGUUCGCGCGGCUUCAAGUUAUUCAUUGUUAUGAACUUUUCUGAAACUCUUAGAGUUGCUUCAUAGUCAUUCCUUUAUUUGAGUCAUGAGUAUUCUUUCAUUAUUAUAGACGUGUGACUAGUUUUAAACUUUCUUUUCAUUUUUGGAGAUGAAUUAGUAUUGUUGUGUGGCGAAUAGAUUGAUAAUAGAUAUUAUGUCUUGA